GUCCACGCCCUAAACGAUGUCAACUGGUUGUUGGGAGGGUUUCUUCUCAGUAACGAAGCUAACGCGUGAAGUUGACCGCCUGGGGAGUACGCCGCAAGGUUGAAACUCAAAGGAAUUGACGGGGACCCGCACAAGCGGUGGAUGAUGUGGUUUAAUUUCGAUGCAACGCGAAAAACCUUAACCUACCCUUGACAUGUCAGAGAUCCUGUAGAGAUAUGGGAGUGCUCGCAAGAGAAUCUGAACACAGGUGCUGCAUGGCCGUCGU
rnacentral:rRNA from 1 species